GGAUUAGAUACCCUGGUAGUCCAUGCAGUAAACGAUGGGUGCUAGUCGUCGGACUUUUGUUCGGUGUCGUAGCUAACGCGUUAAGCACCCCGCCUGGGGAGUACGGUCGCAAGAUUAAAACUCAAAUAAAUUGACGGGGACCCGCACAAGCAGUGGAGCAUGUGGUUUAAUUCGACGCAACGCGAAGAACCUUACCAGCGUUUGACAUGGGAAGUGCCGGUUACAGAAUGGUAACCUUCAGUUCGGCUGGCUUCCACACAGGUGCUGCAUGGCUGUCGUCAGCUCGUGCCG
rnacentral:rRNA from 1 species